GUGAAUCAUCGAAUUUUUGAACGCAAAUUGCACUCUUUGGUAUUCCGGAGAGUAUGCCUGUUUGAGGGUCAGUUUAAUUAUACAUCGGUGUGGUAGCUUCCUUUCGUGUUGUUGUACCAGAGGUGUUUCGUCUUGCCUUCGGUUAAGUGAGGUGAAAUUGUGCAUUUUAUUUUCGAACGUAUUUAUAUGAUUUUAUGUACUUUUGCGAUUUCUUAGACUAUUUGAGGUUAUAAUAAUG
rnacentral:misc_RNA from 1 species